AAUAUUGUAAAAUAACAAAUCCACCAUUUAAGUAUCGAAUAUUUCCAUUUGGAUAUGGAAAACUAGCGUGACGGUUAACGUGUUAAGCAUAUGGGGGCCAUAGCUUCCUGUUACAAAAGCUAAUGCUUGACACUCUGGGACUCCGAGAAACGUACCUGAAUUCGAGGACGCGACUGGAACCGCUACAUUGGGAAACACACAACACAACAGUCCACCAAAAACCACAGUCAAAACGAGGAUAAACGAGACGUUCAUCUUGAGAGAUGCUUCGAAAGGAAAUUGCAAAAGUUGAUCGUCGAGAAAACGUGCCUGGCGAGAUCUGGACGCACGCGAUUGCUUAAAUGGCCAUCGAAUAGUAAUUCAUGCGACUGACAGAUCGAAAUUGGGCAUCUUAUUGCGUUCUCCACCUUCCACGUCCGACGUGCUUCGUCCUUUCGACCGCCAACUGACGUCGAUGCUAAUUUACGAAUACGCGAGUGCAACGUGGGCGCCUCGAAAUUGUUAAUUUUUGCAACUUUGCUGCCAUUCGACCCUUAUCGUCUCGUUAGCGUCACGAAAACGUUGACAGAAAUUAAAACGGCUAGAGGAACGUUAAAAACUUCCCUAGAAAAGGCCUCCACUGUUAAGAAAGCAAAGACCAGAAUUACAGGUUUUGCACCCCAAAUUCAACAUUUUACAAAUCUAGUUUUUUAAAAGUGAAUACACCAGAUUCCACUGAAUAAUUGUAAACAUUGCAACUCAUGACUUAAUGGGAUUGCUAUGACCGAGCUGUUGGGUCAUCCUGUAAAUGGCGUCGAGGCUCGUGGGAAACAAAGUGUUCGAUUCGUCCAUUUUGUCAAUUUUGUCCGAAGUGGUGUGCAACCAUGCAACCAGAAGACGAGUGGUCAGAUAGUUCCAUAAUCGGCGCAACGAUUCCUCGCUCAUUGACUCGACCUCUUCGAGAACGUAAUCUUUCACUGGGUCUAUCAAUGUCUGCAAGUAAUCAUCCAUCGACUGCGACGUGUUCGUCAUCCAACUUCGACUCCUUCUGGAGUUGGAAGAACCUAAGAGCCAAUCGAGGGUCGACGCGAUGGACGAAACGAUCCAUCGAAGCGCGGAAUCGACGAUGGAAAAUAGACACUUCACGAAAUGCACGAUCGUCUCCACGAGCCUUUGCAAAAAUCUGUCGAAUCUGGACGCUAGGAACCCGACCAGGUUCGCCAGAUUCGUAUCCAACGUGGCGACGAAGUCCUCCGCCAUUUUUCCCCUAGGAACUUCCACUAGAGUCUGGAUCUCUGAAAAUCAUUGUCGAAAUCAAAUAAAGUAGGACAACGUACAUAUUAACUGGAAACGAAACACCGAGGAACGUACCUGUGCCAGAGACAUCGACAGGACUCGCAUAAACGGAAGGCGUACAGCAUAAUCCAUAAAGGACCACCAGCAAUCCUAAGAUCGUCGAAUUGAUCAUCGAGAUAGAUUGGUUUCGAAAAGAAAUUGCACGUUUAUCGUCGAAAACAAAUUACUCGCGGACGAUGACGAUGGUCUGGAUGGUCGUGGCAAACUCCUCGACGUGACUCGCCGAUCAAAAUUAUAAAUCUCAUUGCAUUUUUCACGUUUUCACCGUUGAUAUCGAUGCUAAUUCUCGAACGCAAUCUAUACGCGAUGACAUCAUUAGAAAUUGUUCUUCGCGGCGCCAUUUAACCGUUAUCGUCGUUCUCUGCGAUACGUCGCGACACUCGGACAGAAACUAGAACACCCGAUUGUCUUCCAAUUCCGUCGAUUGACGUUCUUGAGACCUUUGCAAACGUAACUGAUAUUAUCCAACGUUAAACUGAUCUCUUUUUGCGUUCCAAAUUUGUUAAAAUUGAGAGGAAUAUAAAUAACAAACAGAUCAACAGAAUAUCGUAUUAUAUGUAAAUCUUCUUUAGUCGAUUUAUUGUCUACCUAAACGGUACUC